rnacentral:lncRNA from 1 species
CAGGGCUGCAGGAGAAACCCUGUGUGUUUUCUCAGGGAACUUAUUAAUUAAAUGCAAUAAUAUUUAAUUAUCUUGGUAAUAGGUGGCUGGGAGCUACAGGAGCCUGAUGAAGCACAUGUGAGAGGUUAGGGAGGUUGUGUGACCACAGUGCAGGAGGGAGGGCACAGGCUGAGCUCGGGGGUAUGCAGGGGAGCUGCUCCCAGGAGUGCCUGACCCCAGGGGCAGGAUGCUGGUGAUCCCUGCAUUAGAAGAGUGAUGGGAAUGAUUUGCCUUGGUUCUUUAAAUCUGUGGCAGGAGGCAUCAGGGAGAAGUAUAUAACUGCAUGCUCUGCAAUGUCAAAAAGCUGAGAGAAAAGCUGCAAGGGCUCAGAGUAUUUUCUGAAAAAGUUCUGCAGGGCAGAGGAGUUGAACAGUUGAUCACAUGCAGGAGCACGGGAUAGAUGGAGUACAGCUGACUCAACAACUACAGGGGAUUUGGCUGCAAAUGCUGUCAAUCUCCACAGGAAUCUAAUGGAAAAAGUGUUAAGAGUCAAGGAGUGCUUUUGUUUGGAAUUUAGUGUCCACCUGAAACAAAAAGGAGGUUGCACUGUCGCUGUAACUCACUUUUUGAGAAAGUUGUGAAG